rnacentral:rRNA from 1 species
CAGUCGCCGCGGGAAAACGAAGGGUGCAAGCGUUACUCGGAAUUACUGGGCGUAAAGCGUGCGUAGGUGGUGGUUUAGUCCGUUGUGAAAGCCCUGGGCUCAACCUGGGAAUUGCAAUGGAUACUGGGUCACUAGAGUGUGGUAGAGGAUAGUGGAAUUUCCGGUGUAGCAGUGAAAUGCGUAGAGAUCGGAAGGAACAUCUGUGGCGAAGGCGACUAUCUGGGCCAACACUGACACUGAGGCACGAAAGCGUGGGGAGCGAACAGGAUUAGAUACCCCCGUAGUCCCUGUCUCUUAUACA